CGGGGUGUAGCGCAGCUUGGUAGCGCGCCUGCUUUGGGAGCAGGAUGUCGCAGGUUCGAAUCCUGUCACCCCGACCA
rnacentral:tRNA from 2 species